UACGUAGGGGCUAGCGUUGUCCGGAUUUAUUGGGCGUAAAGAGCGUGUAGGCGGUUUGGUAGGUCCGCUGUGAAAACUCGAGGCUCAACCUCGAGACGCCGGUGGAAACCAUCAGGCUAGAGUCCGGAAGAGGAGAGUGGAAUUCCUGGUGUAGCGGUGAAAUGCGCAGAUAUCAGGAAGAACACCCGUGGCUAAGGCGGCUCUCUAGUACGGUACUGACGCUGAGACGCGAAAGCGUGGGGAGCGAACAGG
rnacentral:rRNA from 1 species